AUGAAUAAUAUUGCAUGCUGAAAAAUUGCAAGAAGCAGCAUGCUGGAUGCAUGGAACCAUUGGUCGGCAUUCUAGAUUUGCCUCUUAACAAUGAAGCCAACCAUUGUCCUCUUCUUUGAUUAUCAAGAUUCCUUCAAACUAGAAACUGCACAGGAUUAAUCAAAGAUGUAAAGUCCCUGAAUGUGAAGGCUGCCUUUCUUCUCUGUCUUUCUGAGCCAGCGUCUUUCACUCCACCGCCACCUCUCUUGCUUCUAUCGUCGCCUUCAGCGCUUGCUCUCGUGUAUGUUGUUUCUGCUGUGGUUUUCUUCCGCCGCUGCCUCGGUUCCAGCUUUUGUUUCAAUGAACAUGGAGACUGCCAAUGAUUCAGAGAUGAUUUUGGUUGGAGAUGGUCAUGUAAGAAGAAGGUCCGCAGAAAAAAAAGCCAUGGCUGAAAUGGAGCAAGAGAACAUAAAGAGCAAUUAGAAAAACUUAAAUAGAAGGAUGUUCGAUUCUCUAGGAAACCAAAAUUUAUAAUUGACUCAGAAGAAGUGGAGAGUGACAAGUCCGAUGGUGAACUUGACGUCAAUGUUGGACAAAGUGUUGGUUAUGAUACUAUUUGUGCAAUUUGUGACAAUGGUGGUGAAAUACUUUCAUAUGUCUUCUCAAUACAAGUUCAUGGUUAUAAGGACUUGCAUUAUUUUGCUCUCCAUCCUUUAUGUAUUAUUAAGAAAUUGGCCAUUUUCACAUUUGUUUUACUGAACUAGUUACUUUUGUUUCAAUAAUUCAGCUGUGAAGGAAGAUGCUUAAGAUCCUUCCAGCCAAA